CACUCUAAGGUGACUGCCGGUGACAAACCGGAGGAAGGUGGGGAUGACGUCAAAUCAUCAUGCCCUUAUGACCUGGGCUACACACGUGCUACAAUGGACGGUACAAAGAGCUGCAAGACCGCGAGGUGGAGCUAAUCUCAUAAAACCGUUCUCAGUUCGGAUUGUAGGCUGCAACUCGCCUACAUGAAGCUGGAAUCGCUAGUAAUCGCGGAUCAGCAUGCCGCGGUGAAUACGUUCCCGGGCCUUGUACACACCGCCCGUCACACCACGAGA
rnacentral:rRNA from 1 species